AUAAUUGGUGCUGGCAAUUCCGGUAUUUUUUUAGAGUUUACCCUCUCUAUGGUUGUCUCUGACAAUCUGUCAUCGUUGCUAAGCUGUCAUCUGUCAGAUUCUCAAAAACUCCAAAAUCCAAUGUUUUUAUUGUAUUUCCCGAUUUUUCCGUGUAUUAGCCCAGUUUACGCCGUAAAUAUCUAAACCCUGCGAGAACCUUCACCACAGUCUUUUAGGCUCCCAAAUAACCAUCAAACAUGGGUGGCAAGGCAGAAAAGGGUACUCCCAAGUACAUAGCGAACAAAAUCAAGGCUAAAGGCCUGCAGAAGCUGCGAUGGUACUGCCAGAUGUGUCAGAAACAGUGUCGAGACGAAAAUGGCUUCAAAUGCCACACCAUGUCAGAAUCCCACCAAAGGCAGCUCCUACUGUUUGCUGAUAAUGCCAAUAAAUACAUUGACGAGUUCUCGAAAGAGUUCUCAGACGGAUAUCUGGAGCUGCUGAAGCGACAGUUUGGGACUAAACGGGUGAACGCUAAUAAAGUGUACCAGGAUUAUAUUUCACACAAAGAUCACCUCCACAUGAAUGCAACCCAAUGGGAGACGCUCACCGAGUUUGUGAAGUGGCUCGGUCGCGAGGGAAAGUGUGUGGUUGACGAGACGGAGAAGGGUUGGUUUGUGGCGUACAUCGACCGGGACCCCGCCACCAUCGCCGCACAGGAGGCUAAGGCUAAGAAGGAGAAAAUGGAUAAGGAUGAUCAGGAGAGGAUGCUAGACUUCAUCGCUAAGCAAGUGGAGCGAGGUAAAUCAUGCGGGCAGCGGGAGGAACCGACCUACUCAGAGCUGAAGAGGGAGGGCAGCCAGGAGCGGCUCAGCCUCAACCUGCAGCUGAAGCGAAAGACUGAAGAAAAGAAGUUGGACCUUCUACCGUCAGCGCUAAAACUGAAAGAGAAACAGAGUGAAUCAUCUUCUAGCAGCAAAAAGAGCAAGACAGAAGAAGUCAAAAGUAAGCAUUCGGCGUUAGACGACAUUAUCAAAAUGGAGGAAUCCAAAAAGGAGAGAAAUAAUAGAAAAGACUACUGGCUGACCGAAGGGAUAGUUGUGAAAGUGGUGACCAAAUCACUCGGUGACAAAUUCUACAAGAGAAAAGCGGUGAUAGAGAAGGUCAUCGACAAAUAUGGCGCUCAAGUUAAAUUGUUAGAUGAUAAUGUUAAGCUGAAGUUGGAUCAGAACCACAUAGAAACCGUCAUACCAUCACCGGGGCGCGCGGUGCGGUUCGUGAACGGAGCCUACAGGGGACACUGCGGGCUGCUGCGGCACAUACACACCGACAGCUACUGCUGCGACGUCGAGGUACGUCCGUGUAUAGACACCCUGUAUAUCACACUCUCCUACAGUUCGUGAACGGAGCCUACAGGGGACACUGCGGGCUGCUGCGGCACAUACACACCGACAGCUACUGCUGCGACGUCGAGGUACGUCCGUGUAUAGACACCCUGUAUAUCACACUCUCCUACAGUUCGUGAACGGAGCCUACAGGGGACACUGCGGGCUGCUGCGGCACAUACACACCGACAGCUACUGCUGCGACGUCGAGGUACGUCCGUGUAUAGACACCCUGUAUAUCACACUCUCCUACAGUUCGUGAACGGAGCCUACAGGGGACACUGCGGGCUGCUGCGGCACAUACACACCGACAGCUACUGCUGCGACGUCGAGGUACGUCCGUGUAUAGACACCCUGUAUAUCACACUCUCCUACAGUUCGUGAACGGAGCCUACAGGGGACACUGCGGGCUGCUGCGGCACAUACACACCGACAGCUACUGCUGCGACGUCGAGAUAUCUGAGGGCCCACUAACAGGACGUCUUAUCAAAGGAGUCCAAUACGAAGAUAUAAGCAAGCUCGCCUCGUGAUAGUUAAAUAAUACUACCUACAUAAUAUUUGCAA